rnacentral:rRNA from 1 species
AUUGAACGCUGGCGGCAGGCCUACACAUGCCAGUCGAGCGGAUGAAGGGAGCUUGCUCCUGGAUUCAGCGGCGGACGGGUGAGUAAUGCCUAGGAAUCUGCCUGGUAGUGGGGGAUAACGUCCGGAAACGGGCGCUAAUACCGCAUACGUCCUGAGGGAGAAAGUGGGGGAUCUUCGGACCUCACGCUAUCAGAUGAGCCUAGGUCGGAUUAGCUAGUUGGUGGGGUAAAGGCCUACCAAGGCGACGAUCCGUAACUGGUCUGAGAGGAUGAUCAGUCACACUGGAACUGAGACACGGUCCAGACUCCUACGGGAGGCAGCAGUGGGGAAUAUUGGACAAUGGGCGAAAGCCUGAUCCAGCCAUGCCGCGUGUGUGAAGAAGGUCUUCGGAUUGUAAAGCACUUUAAGUUGGGAGGAAGGGCAGUAAGUUAAUACCUUGCUGUUUUGACGUUACCAACAGAAUAAGCACCGGCUAACUUCGU